GUGAGGAAUAUUGCGCAAUGGAGGCAACUCUGACGCAGCCAUGCCGCGUGCAGGAAGAAGGCGCUACGCGUUGUAAACUGCUUUUAACCGGGAAGAAACCCCAGGACGUGUCCUGGGUUGACGGUACCGGAGGAAUAAGCACCGGCUAACUUCGUGCCAGCAGCCGCGGUAAUACGAAGGGUGCAAGCGUUAUCCGGAUACAUUGGGUUUAAAGGGUGCGUAGGCGGAGCGUUAAGUCAGUGGUGAAAUCCUGCAGCUUAACUGUAGACUUGCCAUUGAUACUGGCGCUCUUGAGUGCGCUUGAAGUGGGCGGAAUGUGCCGUGUAGCGGUGAAAUGCUUAGAUAUGGCACAGAACACCAAUUGCGAAGGCAGCUCACUAAGGCGAUACUGACGCUGAGGCACGAAAGCGUGGGGAUCGAACAGGAUUAGAUACCCCGGUAGUCC
rnacentral:rRNA from 1 species